UACAAACUGUUAGAUGAAACUGCAUGGAUGAGCUCGAGGCACCUUGACAUGGCCAUGUUUCUAAUACGCAAAAGACAACUCUCUCAUCCGCAACUAUUUGGAAGGGAGUGGACAACCGCCGAGUUUUGUCUGCAGCAAUUUUUACAGCCGUUUGCAAUGCCAAGUGGGAAACGAGUCACGAGGA